ACCGUGAGGGAAAGGUGAAAAGAACCCCGGAGAGGGGAGUGAAAUAGAAUCUGAAACCGUUUGCGUACAAGCAGUGGGAGCAUAGUUUAGGCUGUGUGACUGCGUACCUUUUGUAUAAUGGGUCAGCGAGUUACUUUCAGUGGCGAGGUUAACUGAAUAAGGGAGCCGUAGAGAAAUCGAGUCUGAAUAGGGCGAUAGUCGCUGGGAGUAGACCCGAAACCGGGCGAUCUAGCCAUGUGCAGGAUGAAGGUUGGGUAACACCAACUGGAGGUCCGAACCGGGUAAUGUUGAAAAAUUAUCGGAUGACGUGUGGCUAGGAGUGAAAGGCUAAUCAAGCCCGGAGAUAGCUGGUUCUCCCCGAAAGCUAUUUAGGUAGCGCCUCGUGAAUGAUUACUGGGGGUAGAGCACUGUUUCGGCUAGGGGGCUGUCAUGGCUUACCAAACCGAUGCAAACUCCGAAUACCGGCUAAUUGGAUCACGGGAGACACACGGCGGGUGCUAACGUCCGUCGUGGAGAGGGAAACAACCCAGACCGCCAGCUAAGGUCCCCAAGUACUAGUUAAGUGGGAAACGAUGUGGGAAGGCAUAGACAGCCAGGAGGUUGGCUUAGAAGCAGCCACCCUUUAAAGAAAGCGUAAUAGCUCACUGGUCGAGUCGGCCUGCGCGGAAGAUGUAACGGGGCUAAAACUAGUCACCGAAGCUGCGGAUGUGCGCGAAAGCGCACGUGGUAGGGGAGCGUUCUGUAGGCUGAUGAAGGUGCAUUGAGAAGUGUGCUGGAGGUAUCAGAAGUGCGAAUGCUGACAUGAGUAACGAUAAUGUGGGUGAAAAGCCCACACGCCGGAAGUCCCAGGUUUCCUGCACGACGUUAAUCGGAGCAGGGUGAGUCGGCCCCUAAGGCGAGGCUGAAGAGCGUAGUCGAUGGGAACCAGGUUAAUAUUCCUGGACUUUUUAUAAGUGGUGAAGUGGGGACGAAGAAGGCUAGGUGAGCCAGGCGUUGGUUGUCCUGGUACUUGCAUGUAGGGGGGAAGACUUGGCAAAUCCGGUUUUCCAUAACUCUGAGGUGCGAAGUGGUUCUGACCUUUUGGUACAGAGAAGUCAUUGAUGCCCGGCUUCCAGGAAAAGCUGCUAGCCAUAACUUAUAGAGAACCGUACCGCAAACCGACACAGGUGGACAGGUAGAGAAUACUAAGGCGCUUGAGAGAACUCGGGUGAAGGAA
rnacentral:rRNA from 1 species